UAGUUUGUAUGGGUCAGGAAUUUGGAAGAGCUUGGCAGGGCCUCUCAUGAGGUCGCAGUUAGGAUUUUGGUGAGGGCCGUGGCUAUCCAGAGGCCUCAUUGGCACUGGAAGAUUCACAUCCAAGAUGCUUCACUCACAGGUGCUGGUUGUUGGAAGUUCUUCAUGGACUGCUUGAGUGUCCUCGUGACGUGGAGCCUGGCUUCCCCCAGAGUGAGCAGCCCAAGAGAAAGAGCGUGGAGGAAGCCACAGUGCGUUUUAUGACCUCGGCUUGAGGUCACAUGCUAUUACUUCCACCAUAUUUUAUUUUUCAGAGAGUAGUCAAUAAUUCUGGCCCACACUCAAGGGGAGAAGAAUUAGGCUCCACUUUUUGAGGGAAGAAUGGUCAGAGAAUUUGUGGUUAAACCAUCAUGGUCACCAGGAAAAAUGUAUCUGUUAUCUUGGAGGAAGACUUCUAGGCCUCGCCUAUUAGUGCUUCGCUGGCUCCGGCUGGAGGAGGCGUUGAGAUGGGAAGAAGAUUCAAGGCCAGGAGAAGUCACAAGGAAGGCAUAGAGAUGGAGGUCUCUGGGCUGCCAGGUGACAAAGUGUUAAGGGAGAGGCAUUCAUGACGUUCCUCCAAGGAAGCUGCAGCAAGUUACAAAUAAUUUUGCCCUAGAAAAAGAAAAUGAUCUGGACGUUUUAGGAAUUAUUGGACACUGAUUCUCUCUGAACUAAUGCUAAUCAUUAGGGUUCCAGAAAAAUCACCACAAUCCAGCAUUUUGAUCUGAAGUUGUUUGAAAUCACAGAUGUGGAAUCCAUGGAUAUGAAGGGCUGACUGUGUAUCACAUGUUUUGUGGAACAGAGAUUUAUCCAUAUUGAGCAUAUUCAUAUACAUAAUGCCAAAUUCCUAGAAGAAGUCUUAUUUGGGUCAUCCUAGUGCUUGGAAUCCUAUUCUAUAUCUGCUCAUUUUAGAAUCUGUGAAGAAUCUGUCCCCCACCCCAUAUUCCCAGAACCAUAUUAACUAGUGGCUUAUGAAGCAGCACAGGACACAAUAUGUUGAUUGAUACCCAUUUUGCAAUCAAGGAAAUUGAGGACCAUAUGGGCUAGGUAAC